rnacentral:rRNA from 1 species
GUCAAAACGACUCUCGGCAACGGAUAUCUCGGCUCUCGCAUCGAUGAAGAACGUAGCGAAAUGCGAUACUUGGUGUGAAUUGCAGAAUCCCGUGAACCAUCGAGUCUUUGAACGCAAGUUGCGCCCGAAGCCUUCUGGCCGAGGGCACGCCUGCCUGGGCGUCACGCAUCGCGUCGCCC